ensembl:lncRNA LINC01491 long intergenic non-protein coding RNA 1491
GACCACAGAAAAAGUAGCCAGCCCACCAUCCCUAGAUGAUUUUGCAGUCUUUGCACACCAGUGUGGCCAUAGGCUUGUUUUCUCCUGGACUGAGCCUGCAGAUCCUAUGAGCAAAAUCUGCAGGCAGAUGCUGAAACCAUGAAUACAGAGGGACAACUAUGUAAGCUCGUUAACGCUGACAUAGUUUUAUGAAUGCAAACAGCCAAGGAGAGCAGAUGUUGAGUGGUUGCCAGAGUGAAAUGAGGAAGCCCUGCUGCCAGCUUCCCACCAAAAAGCAGGCUCCGGCCCUGAACGCAGGAGAGUUGCUAAAGAAGUUGCUCACAGAGGCGGGAGAGAGCAGGCUACUGGUUUCCUUCAAAAUGGAAUAGGAAACAGAAAACGUGCAUCAUUUCUUCGCACUUGAAUCAGCAACAUGACACAGGACUUUGGCAUCAGACUACUAUCACACCAAAAAAAGAGGCUUCACUUGGAGUGCUGCCACUGGAUGGGGCCUGACUUGUUUAUCCGGAAAGAAGUGACUUCCCUGGGAAGAAGGUUGCAUUUGUGAAAGCUUGUGCAGCAUUUCAAGGCUGCAUUCAGGGGCUCUGACCUCCAGUGUCAGCCUUCCAAGGAGAGAAUGGUAGUGUAAUCAUGACUGGAGAGCAACUGUUCCAGAUAAGAAUAUUUUGGCAGAUUUUAAAAGCAACUAUUACUGGUGUUGAUUGACUUAAAAAUAUUUUAAAAAUAUAACAUGUUAUAAACCUCUUCAAUAUCA